UCUUCCGGGAUAGGUAGUAGUUAAGGUGAUGGCUUAACUAGCCAAAAACUCUCGUAGUCGAAGCUGAAAGGUUGAUCGACCACAUUGGGUCUGAAAAAACCCCAAUGCAAGUUAGUACAGCAGUGAGGAAUCUUGGUCAAUGGCCUAACGGCUGAACUGGCAACUUGGAGAAGUGGCAAGUCUUAUUUUGAUUAUAUUACAAUAUAUAAUCUAUAAGAUUGUAUUAAAAUUGAAUAAAGCUUUGUUUAUAUAUUGAUAAUGACAGUAUAUAUAUCGUGUCUUGACUAAUUACGUGCCAGCAGUCGCGGUAAUACGUAAGAGACUAGUGUUAUUCAUCUUGAUUAGGUUUAAAGGGUACCUAGACGGUCAAUAUAUCUUCUAAAAUGUUAGUACUUGACUAGAGUUUGAUAUAAGAGGGCAGUACUUGAGGAGGAGAGAUGAAAUUCUAUUAUACCAAAGGGACUCGGUAAAGGCGAAGGCAGCCCUCUAUGUAAAAACUGACGUUGAAGGACGAAGGCACAGAGCACAAACAGGAUUAGAUACCCAAGUAGUCUUUGCAGUAAAUGAUGAAUGCCAUAGGUUAGAUUAA
rnacentral:rRNA from 1 species